AACGAACGCUGGCGGCAUGCCUAUCACAUGCAAGUCGAACGAGAUCUUCGGGUCUAGUGGCGCACGGGUGCGUAACGCGUGGGAAUCUGCCCUUGGGUUCGGAAUAACUUCGGGAAACUGAAGCUAAUACCGGAUGAUGACGUAAGUCCAAAGAUUUAUCGCCCAAGGAUGAGCCCGCGUAGGAUUAGCUAGUUGGUGAGGUAAAGGCUCACCAAGGCGACGAUCCUUAGCUGGUCUGAGAGGAUGAUCAGCCACACUGGGACUGAGACACGGCCCAGACUCCUACGGGAGGCAGCAGUGGGGAAUAUUGGACAAUGGGCGAAAGCCUGAUCCAGCAAUGCCGCGUGAGUGAUGAAGGCCUUAGGGUUGUAAAGCUCUUUUACUCGGGACGAUAAUGACGGUACCGAGAGAAUAAGCCCCGGCUAACUCCGUGCCAGCAGCCGCGGU
rnacentral:rRNA from 1 species